UCAAAAGGAACGCAGACUAUGAACGCCCUGUCCUGUGCCAGCGUCUGCAUGACCAGCUUCUUCUGG
rnacentral:sRNA from 1 species